rnacentral:lncRNA from 1 species
CUCUCCCUCUACUGGGAACAUAAGUGUUCUACUUAAGGCUCAUAUUAUUCCUUUGUUUUCAAGGUUCAUUUUCUUUCCCUGUGGAAGUUUUAUAGCUGCAUGUAAUCCAUGUGUCAGGUUGUCUUAUCCAUAGUUUAGGCUGCUUAUAAUGGAGAAGCAACACCAUCUAUAGUAAAGGUUGUCUCUGGAAACCCAAUUAGUGAAGAAAACCUCAAAUCACUUGCAACCAAGGACCCCAAAAUUAACCUUUUCUCCUUAAAAAUUCCCUUCCCUGCACACUCCCACAAGCAGAGUCAGUUCAUCAAUCUCUUUAUGUAAAUAGCAGUCAAGAAGCCAGGGAGGAGGUCUGUUUAUUAUUUUUGAUCCUGUUUUGCUUCUGGCAAAAUUUCACAAACACCAGAAGUUGGCAGAACAUUGAUACUUUUUUCUGACUGGCUACUGUUCACUAGCUACAAGUGCAGAAUACAACUGUAACUAUUCUGGUCUACGGGCCUCAGCUAUGACUGAGGACAGAACUGUAAAAUCUGGAAGAAAAAAAUCUCCACCCAAGACUUCUCUCUGAAAAUGUGGACCCUCCUUUAAUACACACUUUUCUCUCACUAGAGGAUGGCUGAGUUCCAGAUCCACUGUCUAGAGAACAACACAGGUCUUACCCAAUUCCCACCUCACUCCUUGUACUCCCUAGUGUCAGAAAAGGUCCACUGUGAAGUCACAAGAGGCCCUGAGCUCUGUGGGCCCCAGGUGCCCCGGGAAAACUUGGGGGAGAAUGGGCAUCCCACCCCAGCACUUUCUAGGAAGAAGGGCAGCAUUUUGAAGGGCUGGAAGUAGAGGAAGGAGGUUGCGGGUAGAAGACUCCAUACUUUCUGUGACGCCUAUUCCUUAGCUUGUGAUGAAUGUUUUCUCAGUAUCCUAUGCUGAAAACAGGUAGAUACUAAUAUCGAUCUUCAAGGGAGGGCUGUUGAGUAUUGAAUAAGACAAAAACAUGGAAGCAAUCAGCACCAUGCUGGAAUCAAGGCUAUCUGUAAUCACAGGGCUAUUUGAAAAAGAGAAGAAAAGGUGUCUUGAAAUUCAACCAACAUGUUUCAAUUAUUUGCUCCUAAGAACAACAGAAGUUUCAACAUUCUGCCAACAGAGUAACUCCUGGAAGAUUGGCACAGAAGAAGGCACAAGGAGAGCCUUUAUAUAACCAAAGAUAUUUUUGGACCAUGAAUUCAGAAAUUCUCGGAGCCACCCAUCAGUGCCUGAGCUUCAGUGAGUCCAUAUCCCAUGUCACCCACGGCAAAGGAGACUCUAAGACUUCUGAAGAGUUUCUUGCUUCUUUCCUGUGGGGCAGUGACUCCACUUCCCAGCAGUAAUGGAAUAUCCUGAAUUAGCUACAUUAAUGUUAGAACCAUUUGGACCUCACCCAGGACUUCAACUACAUUAUGCUAAAGUUACAGAACCCAAAUUUGGCAACUGUCUGCAUCUGAACAACAGAAGUUUCAACAUUCUGCCAACAGAGUAACUCCUGGACGAUUGGCACAGAAGAAGGCACAAGGCAAAUACCCAUCUCUGUACACCCUGUGCUACUGUGUCAUGUGCUGCUCCAGGCAACUCCAAUGGAUUGGCCACCCUGGCCAAUGUGUUCUAGUAUGUUACGUUUAUGUUCCCCUGCUUUCUACAAUCCUGUUCAAAGAGUUGCUGACUUAACCACAGAGAGGAUUCCAGAACCUGAGACACAGAAUAAACUUGAGCAAUCAUAGUCCAUCCACUUCAUUGUCUCAUCAAAAACCAAAGGUCCAGUGAAGCUCUGGAACUCAACGCUGUAAAGGAGCGAAGGAGCUUCUAUACAGAGCCUGGAUGCCUGUCUCCUUAUCCUACUUCAGUGGACUUGACUGCAAUCCGGA